AGGUUCAUUGGGACUACAGGAGCUUUAGUGGGUAAGGUUAAAGGGUUCUGUGAAGGAUGAAUAUGCAACCGGCUGUCCAUUCCAGAUCAUCUGCCAAUGGAUUUGGCCGUCGCAGAGGCGAAAGAGAUGUGGGGACCAGGCUGGAGAACAUGUCACAGAGUGGGAAGUCAAAUUCCAAUAAUAGAUUAACAUCUACUGGGAGCAAAACUGGUGGCCAUGGGAGUCCUUCGCAUGAUCACUUAGUAUAUAUAACUACUUGUUUUGUUGGUCAGCAUGUGGAUGUCCAUGUGAAAAAUGGAUCCAUAUAUUCUGGAAUAUUUCAUGCAGCAAACGAAAAAGA